rnacentral:rRNA from 1 species
UACGAAGGGGGCUAGCGUUGUUCGGAAUUACUGGGCGUAAAGCGCACGUAGGCGGAAUGUUAAGUCAGAGGUGAAAUCCCGGGGCUCAACCCCGGAACUGCCUUUGAUACUGGCAUUCUCGAGUCCGGAAGAGGUGAGUGGAAUUCCGAGUGUAGAGGUGAAAUUCGUAGAUAUUCGGAGGAACACCAGUGGCGAAGGCGGCUCACUGGUCCGGUACUGACGCUGAGGUGCGAAAGCGUGGGGAGCGAACAGG